UACGUAGGGGGCAAGCGUUGUCCGGAAUCAUUGGGCGUAAGGAGCGUGUAGGCGGCUCGGUAAGUCCGCUCUGAAAGCCCGGGGCUCAACCCCGGGAGGCGGGCGGAUACUGUCGGGCUAGAGUCCGGAAGAGGCGAGUGGAAUUCCUGGUGUAGCGGUGAAAUGCGCAGAUAUCAGGAGGAACACCAAUGGCGAAGGCAGCUCGCUGGGACGGUACUGACGCUGAGACGCGAAAGCGUGGGGAGCAAACAGG
rnacentral:rRNA from 1 species